AGCAGUAGCCGCGGUAAAACGUAGGGUGCAGGCGUUAAUCGGAAUUACUGGGCGUAAAGCGUGCGCAGGCGGUUCGUUAAGACAGAUGUGAAAUCCCCGGGCUUAACCUGGGAACUGCAUUUGUGACUGGCGGGCUAGAGUAUGGCAGAGGGGGGUAGAAUUCCACGUGUAGCAGUGAAAUGCGUAGAGAUGUGGAGGAAUACCGAUGGCGAAGGCAGCCCCCUGGGCCAAUACUGACGCUCAUGCACGAAAGCGUGGGGAGCAAACAGGAUUAGAUACCCCCGUAGUCCCUGUCUCUUAUAC
rnacentral:rRNA from 1 species